GCCCAACUACCCCCGUUAACCCCUAGAGCGAGGAGACUGAUCCAUCCACAUCUCGUCUCUCCUUCUCCCUCACCCAGCGCCUCCUCCAUCUCCCGGCUCGUCCCCAAGCAACUGCCCUCGAGGAGUUCCCCGUCCCCGUCGCCGGCCAUGCUGCUACGCUGUCUCCCUCUCCUUCCUUCUUUUCCCUGUGGUUCUUCUUCCACUAACAUCUGUCUCUCUCUUGUUUGCUGCUGAACGUAGGACGCCGCCGCUCCUACCAAAUCCAGCCGCCGCCGGAUCUGCCUCCACCGGACCAGAUCCGUCCGGAUUCGGCUGCCCUCGACCGUCCUCGACCUCAUAUUCUCCUCCAGUCGCCUGAUUGAUGCGCCGCCGACGGAUCUGCCUCCACUGGACCGGAUCCGUCCGGAUCCGGACGCCCUCGACCGCCCUCGGCCUCGUCUGCGACUCCUCCGUCCGGAUUCUGCUGUCCUCGACCGUCCCCGGCCUAGUUUGCUCCUCCCGUCGUGUGAUUUGAUGCCCCACCUAUUCGAUUUCUUCGAUUUCGUGGUGUUGCAAUCUGCUUUUCUUUGAUCGAUUAUUUGAUAGACCGAAUCCUUCCCUUGUGAUUAUUCUCAUCUCUGUGUCCUGAUUUCUGUGGUCGCUUGUUGAAUCAUCAACGUCUACCUAUAUGAACCAGUCAGAUUAGGUGUAAAGAAACGAUGUGGUAUUAUUACUUAGCCAAGUCAUAUAAUUUUUUCGGCAUGAUCCUAGGAAGGCAAGGAGAAAGCCUAUCAGCAUAUGAAGCCCAGUACGGGCGGCGUGGAGGACGCGUCACGAAUCUGAAAUAUGGAACACUUUUUUUUUUCACUUAUAUGUUGGACUGCGGGUUAAUUAGUUAAAACCAUAAGGGGCUUUUUGUAAAUAGUGCACGGUGACGGACGACAGAAACCCAAUUUUCUUUAUUAUUAUUAGGUAAAGAUAAAGACUCGGUAGUACUCUCUCUCUCUCAGUAUUUUUUUCUCUCUUCUUCGGCCUUCGCAAUGCUCCGAAGUUCGCCAGGAUAUUCACCUGCCUCUGCUCUGCACGCGUGGUACUGACGCGGUGUUUAUCUCAAGAAGAAGCGCGCGCGCAUGCAUCAAGAAGGAGGAGGACGGAUUUUCGUACCUACCUUGAUCCACUCGAACUUUGAAAGUCCGGGCUUUUACUUUCCGCGUCAUAUUUAUGCAAGCGGGCCCGAGCCGAAGCUGUACUGAAACUACUGAAGAAGUGUUCAACUGUCCCACUCCAGGUUCAGUUUGCGAAUGGCAGCGACCGACGCGCACGAGACAGGUCUUUGAUGGACUGCUGUGAUGCAUCCAUCUUAGUUACCGUUUCGUCUAAACUCCAACACUGUUCUCUUCGCCAGUGUUCACCCUCGGUUAAGACACUGUUCACUUGCAGCCGGACCGGCCGUAGAGUGGGACAGAGAAGAAAUUACCUGUUCGGUAAGCAGUCUCCGUUAGGAGUCCUAAUCUGAAUUUUCUAUUACGAGUGCCUAAUCGUGCUGACGCGUGGUUCGCAAGAUUCCUCAACCCAGCUCGACAGAUGUCCACCGAGCAAAGCAUGCAUGGAGUGUGCGCGAGGUGUCGAGCCACGGGAGCUCGGCGCUGCCACGUCCGCCGGCGUCCAAUUCUUCUAGGUUACCGGUCGAGCCGAUCAGCUCUAGCGCCGCACUUCAGUAGCCCUGCUCUGCUUGCUCACUCUCCCACGACAAGCUAGCGCCAUCGACCAUAUCAUCUCAUUCUCAUAGUCAUCGGAGAAGAAAGGCUCUGCGAGAAGAGGGAUUUGAUUGCGAUGGGUUCGGAGACGUUCGUGGAGAUCCUGCUGGCCAUCCUGCUGCCGCCGGUCGGCGUCUUCCUCCGCUACGGCAUCGGCGUAAGCUCCUCCCAAACCUACGCAUAUUUAUGAACUGCUGCUGCCGGUGCUAGCUAAUUCACCUACGAGUCAAGCUGCCUGUCGAUCUACCGGUGUGUGAUGGGUUUGGUGCAUGUGCAGGUGGAGUUCUGGAUCUGCCUGCUGCUCACGGUGCUGGGCUACAUCCCCGGCAUCAUCUACGCCAUCUUCGUCCUCGUCGCAUAGGCAUAGCUUGUUCAUCAAUUGAUCAGAUCGGACUCGUGGAGAUAGAUAGAUAGAUAGAUCCAGAGGCAUCUUUGCUCCAGUUGCUCUAGCUGUUCAUGGAUGAUGAGAUGACUGGCGCAUCGGUGUAAGCAGGAUCUCAUCUCUGCGCCAUGAAUAACCACCCUGCAUGCCGGUUCAGUUACUAGACCAGCUACUACUGUUUUUCUACUGUUGUGCUGACCGGAGCGCUAUGUACUGCCGUUCUGUGCGUAUGAUUAUGCGUAUCGAUAUCACUUCUCCAAAUUAAUCUGUAUGCACGUAUGUAUC
rnacentral:rRNA from 1 species